rnacentral:SRP_RNA from 1 species
CGGCAGGUCCUGCGCGAUGGAGGCCUGUGAACCGUGUCAGGUCCGGAAGGAAGCAGCACUAAGCGGAUCCCUUCAUGCGCCGCGGGGGUGCCUGCCCUGC